rnacentral:tRNA from 1 species
GAGGGUAUAGCUCAGUGACAGAGUGCAUGCUUAGCAUGUACAAGGGCCUGGGUUCAAGCCCCAGUACCUUCA